rnacentral:rRNA from 1 species
AGCGAACGCUGGCGGCAGGCCUAACACAUGCAAGUCGAACGAAGCCUUCGGGCUUAGUGGCGGACGGGUGAGCAACACGUGGGAACGUACCUUUUGGUUCGGAACAACUCAGGGAAACUUGAGCUAAUACCGGAUGAGCCCUUAGGGGGAAAGAUUUAUCGCCGAAAGAGCGGCCCGCGUUAGAUUAGCUAGUUGGUGAGGUAAAGGCUCACCAAGGCAACGAUCUAUAGCUGGUCUGAGAGGAUGAUCAGCCACACUGGGACUGAGACACGGCCCAGACUCCUACGGGAGGCAGCAGUGGGGAAUCUUGCGCAAUGGGCGAAAGCCCGACGCAGCCAUGCCGCGUGAAUGAUGAAGGUCUUAGGAUUGUAAAAUUCUUUUACCAGGGACGAUAAUGACGGUACCUGGAGAAAAAGCCCCGGCUAACUUCGUGCCAGCCGCCGCGGUAAAAC